rnacentral:SRP_RNA from 1 species
ACUGGGCUCAGUUACGUGGGCCUGUAACCCAAGUGGGAGUAAUAAAAUAGUGGGAGAUUAUUAUAUGAAAAAAGGUGGAUGUCAUAUUGUAUUUGGGGGUAGUAAGGUCUAAUAUGAGGACCAGUCCAAAUACCACUCUGGUAGAGUUUAAAACCCUCUACCCGUUUGGGUAUUCUCUCAACUGACUUAACAGAGCAGUUGCAGCAGGAGUUCACUAUCUUUGGUGGCAUUAAGGUGGAUCUCAUAUUAGACAUCUAUGCUCCAAAUACCUUCCACCCUUAUAAUAACAACCAUUAUCUUU